AUGUCUGUUGCUCAGAGAUGGCAAUAUAUGAUCUUCAUGCUGGCCAAUACCAUCAGCUGCAUCACCACCUCCACCACACACACACACACACACACACACACACAUACACAUAUCUACCAACUAUGGUCUCUGAAUCACCCAUCAUUAUAGAUGGUAACCUCAGGUAACCAUAGCAACAGUAUGAUGAGCGAACACUGUGAAGAGUUAGCGCGAGGAGGAGUAAAACGAGUUUGAUCGGUGUAAUUACAGGAUAUUCUCAGAGCCAGAAAAGCUGGAUUUGCCUCUAUUAUUGUCUACAUCGUGAGUUAGAAUGAUAGAGAAACUGCUGUCAGUGGAGUCGGACUUACGCACGACUUGAGCGACACACGAACUAUGAGUUUCGAGUCAGCAGAAUGUUGGAAUAGAGGAGGAGGUUUUUGGCUUUGAAAGCACAUUUCAAUAGAGGUGGAUUGGUAUCUCUCAUGACCUAAUGCAAUGAAAAUGAACUGAAAAUGAACCCUGUUUAGUUUUGUAAUACUGUAUUUAUUCCGGAUCGUAUCAUGUUCAUCAGUGCAUGUGAUACUACAGGAAAAAGAUUCAUUAUCUUAAUCGGUAGAUAAAAUGAGGUAGAAUAUCCUAUGUCAAGUGAAUGUCAUGAAUAGUUUAAUGAUGACCUUGAGAUAUUGAGGUUAAUACAUAAUGUGUCAUAUUUUAUUCAGUAUUAAUGCUAUCAUAAAGACUUCAGGUACUCUCAUUUGAAGAGUUUCUCUUUCCAGAUUUUCCAGAACAGUGUUAUUGACUUGCUAAUUUGAGGAAAUCAGAGGGUUUGUCUUUAAAUUGACUAUGUUGUUUUAAAAACAGAUUUAUGAAUCAUAAAAUGUUAUUAUUGCCUUUGAACUUGUAUUAAUAGCUGCUUACAAAAUUAUCGAAUAAUAUUCAUUUUGCAAU